rnacentral:rRNA from 1 species
GCAUAUCAAUAAGCGGAGGAAAAGAAACUAACAAGGAUUCCCUUAGUAACGGCGAGUGAAGAGGGAAGAGCUCAAAUUUUAAAUCUAUCAUGUUGUACAUGAUCGAGUUGUAAUUUGAAGAAGCGUUUUCUCGUACUUUAUGAUCAGUAUAAGUUCUCUUGGAACAGGACAUCAUAGAGGGUGAUAAUCCCGUCUGUUACUGAUUGUGAGGUUCGUUUAUGAUACGCUUUCAAAGAGUCGAGUUGUUUGGGAUUGCAGCUCCAAAUGGGUGGUAAACAUCACCUAAGGCUAAAUAUUUGCGAGAGACCGAUAGCGAACAAGUACCGUGAGGGAAAGAUGAAAAGAACUUUGAAAAGAGAGUUAAAAAGUAUGUGAAAUUGUUGAAAGGGAAACGAUUGAAGUCAGUCGUGCAGUCAUCAAUUCAGCGGUUAACAUUUUAUGUUUCCGUGUAAUUUGGUGUCUGUUGGUUAGCAUCAAUUUUGAUUGUUAUAAAAAGGUUAAGGGGAUGUGGCUCCUUCGGGAGUGUUAUAACCCUUAGCGUAAUGUGACGAUUAGGAUUGAGGAUUGCAACGAAUACCUUUUAGGGCAGUUUCACCUGGCCUCUCGUGGAAUUAUAGAUAGUUAAGAGCAUGCUCUUACUGUCUAUGAUUCUACGAAAAGGUUGGAGUGUAAAANUAANNNNUUAAGGAUGUUGACGUA